rnacentral:snoRNA from 1 species
CUGUGGUGAUGAUUGUUUGAACUGACCUGGCAUUGUUGAUCUCUGGGUUGACUCUGGCCAGGACAUGACCUCAUUUAAUCUUCUCUCUGAGCAG